GAUGAACGCUAGCGGCAGGCUUAACACAUGCAAGUCGAGGGGUAUGCCGAUUUAUCGGCAGAGACCGGCGCACGGGUGCGUAACGCGUAUGCAAUCUACCUUUCACAGAGGGAUAGCCCAGAGAAAUUUGGAUUAAUACCUCAUAGUAUUUUUGAAUCGCAUGAUUUGAUUAUUAAAGUUCCAACGGUAAAGGAUGAGUAUGCGUCCCAUUAGCUAGAUGGUAAGGUAACGGCUUACCAUGGCAAUGAUGGGUAGGGGUCCGUGAGAGGGAGAUCCCCCACACUGGUACUGAGACACGGACCAGACUCCUACGGGAGGCAGCAGUGAGGAAUAAUU
rnacentral:rRNA from 1 species